rnacentral:rRNA from 1 species
UACGUAGGGUGCGAGCGUUGUCCGGAAUUAUUGGGCGUAAAGAGCUUGUAGGCGGUUUGUCGCGUCUGCUGUGAAAUCUCAAGGCUCAACCUUGAGCUUGCAGUGGGUACGGGCAGACUAGAGUGUGGUAGGGGAGACUGGAAUUCCUGGUGUAGCGGUGAAAUGCGCAGAUAUCAGGAGGAACAGCCGGUGGCGAAGGCGGGUCUCUGGGCCGAUACUGACGCUGGAGGAGCGAAAGCGUGGGAGCGAACAGG